rnacentral:rRNA from 1 species
UACGGAGGGGGCGAGCGUUGUCCGAAGUUACUGGGCGUAAAGCGCGCGUAGGCGGGGCGGAAAGUCCGCUGUGAAAGCCCGAGGCUUAACCUCGGCGGGUCGGUGGAUACUUCCGCUCUUGAAGGUGCUAGGGGGAGAUGGAAUUACCGGUGUAGCGGUGAAAUGCGUAGAUAUCGGUAGGAACACCAGUGGCGAAGGCGGUCUCCUGGGGCAUUCUUGACGCUGAGGCGCGAAAGCUGGGGGAGCGAACGGG